ACGGUUGUAAGCCCCCAGCGGGUCGUUAGCUCAGUUGGUAGAGCAGUUGACUUUUAAUCAAUUGGUCGCAGGUUCG
rnacentral:tRNA from 1 species